rnacentral:rRNA from 1 species
CAGUAGCCGCGGGAAUACGGAGGGUGCAAGCGUUAUCCGGAUUCAUUGGGUUUAAAGGGUCCGUAGGCGGAUCUGUAAGUCAGUGGUGAAAUCUCACAGCUUAACUGUGAAACUGCCAUUGAUACUGCAGGUCUUGAGUAAAUUUGAAGUGGCUGGAAUAAGUAGUGUAGCGGUGAAAUGCAUAGAUAUUACUUAGAACACCAAUUGCGAAGGCAGGUCACUAAGAUUUAACUGACGCUGAUGGACGAAAGCGUGGGGAGCGAACAGGAUUAGAUACCCCCGUAGUCCCUGUCUCUUAUAC